CAGCUUUGGAAAUAGUGGGAUGAUGCGGCAAGAAGACCCUUACCAGAUGCAGGCCCCUCAACCUUGGACUUCCUAACAUCCAGAACUAGCCACCUAAGCUGAAGAUUCCCUUGAGAACAAGUACUGUCCUGCGGUUUCAUGGCCUUUCUUCCAUUUGUGGUUCUUGCGAAGUGGAAUUUAAAUGACAUCUUAUCAAGAUGGAUAAACCCUAGUUUCCCAGUGCUGGAAUAUAGAAAAUGGAUGGACAAGUAAAUCCCACUCAGCACCCAUAGUCCAGGCAUGGGGACCUCAACACACCUGAGCCCCAGACAUCACCUUUCAUUCUGGACCUACCAUGAAAGACUUCUGAAUCCAGGAAGAGAAACUGGCUGGGCAACAUGUUAUUCAG
rnacentral:lncRNA from 1 species